GUCCAUCUAGGUUUAACCCUGCCUGCUGUAAACAUAGCAGUUUCAGAGAAACUGCUAUGUUUACAUUAGGGUUAAUCCAGCCUCUAGAGGCUGUCUCAUUGACAGCCGCUAGAGGCGCUUCUGCGCUUCUCACUGUGAUUUUCACAGUGAGAAGACGCCAGCGUCCACAGGAAAGCAUUGAGAAAUGCUUUCCUAUGGACUGACUGAAUGCGAUGAAGUCGGAAGAGGGAGGAGAGUCCCCAGCGCCUGGUACUGGAGAAAGGUAAGUGUUUAACCCCUUCCUCCCCCUAGAGCCUGGUGGGAGGGGGACCAUGAGGGUGGGGGGGACCUAUUAACACUAUAGUGCCAGGAAAACGAGUUUGUUUUCCUGGCACUAUAGUGGUCCUUUAAGGUCUAACAUAAAUUUUAAAUCUGCUCGAGGACCAUCGACCCACUUUCUUAACCGACUCAUUCAAGAGACCAUGUGAUACAGCCUCUGUUGCAGCACCUUUACGAAAUGAAUGAGAUGUAAUCCUUUUAUCAUCAAUAUCCAACCCUUUACAUGAUAACUGAAGAACUUUUCAAAAUUUACCUUUACCUUGCGCACCAGCCACUUAUAACGUGGCCCACCUACCUGCCCUAACUCCUGAUAGAUCAGGAAAAGCACCCACUAACAUGCGGUUCUUGGACAUAUCAUUUGAUGGCACAAUUUACUUAGACUGCACAAACCAGUGGCUAAACCGAUAUCCGUACUGAACACGGACCUCAAACUUCUGGCGAGCGUACUGGCGGCACGCCUGGCUCCUUUACUACCAGCCACAAUCCACCCAGAUCAAACGGGCUUCAUCCCAGGCAGGGAGGUGAGGGACAACACUAUAAGGGCCCUAAACCUCAUAGCACACGCGAGAGGGCAGAAGACCCCAGUACUACUCCUGUCCACUGACGCAGAGAAAGCGUUUGAUAGGGUGGACUGGGACCUGAUGUUUGAAACACUCCGCUCCCUGGGCAUCGGCCCACACUACAUGGCCUGGGUACAGACACUCUACACCGACCCAACGGCACGAAUCUGGAUCAAUGGUGCACUAACAGACCUGUUUAAGAUCCACAACGGAACCAGACAGGGCUGCCCGCUUUCGCCCAUACUCUUUGCGCUGACGCUGGAGCCCUUCCUAAGCAGGAUCAGACAAAACGAGGACGUCCGGGGACGGACAGUCGGAAACACACACCACAAAACUCUGGCAUAUGCGGAUGACAUGCUGUUCGUGGUCACGGACCCUGAAAAAUCGCUGCGAGCGAUACAGAGAGAAUUCGACAUAUAUGGCCGCAUCUCGAACCUCCGAAUCAACUACACAAAAUCGGAGAUACUGAACUUAAAUAUUAGCAACACACUCAAGCUAAUGAUUCAGAGACAACAACCAUAUCGCUGGUGUGAUUACCGCAUUAAAUAUUUGGGGAUCUGGCUCACACCUGACCCGGGGGAUUUAUACACCCAUAACUACCUCCCAAUAUUAAAAAAAGCAAAGGAGGAAUUACAUAGAUGGGGCUCCUACUACAUAUCCUGGCUGGGCAGGGUGAACGUGGUAAAAAUGACGCUGCUACCGAAGCUACUCUUCAUAUUUCAAACAGUACCGAUAAGAGCCCCACAAACGUUCUUCGCGACACUCAAGACGGAGGUCCGCACUUUUAUCUGGAAUGGCAAAUCUCCGCGCAUAGCGCACACCCAACUGAUCCUGCCCAAGCUCAGGGGGGGCCUAGCGCUCCCCGACUUUGAAAAAUACUACCACGCGGCACACAUCGCCAGAGUCGUCAGUUGGUCGGUAGCCAGCGGCACCAAACCAUGGACACAACUAGAAGCAGACACGACCAGCUGUGACCUCAGAACCCUACCAUGGAUCACCAGGGCAGCGUACAGGAGCAAACAUAUCACCAACCCAUUCGUGGCGGCGACCAUGCAAGUUUGGCACGGACAAGGCACAAAACAUUACCUGACAACAGACCCAGGCCUGCUCCUGCCCCUAAAGGGAAACCCAGACUUCCCAGCAAGGGACUACGGCCCCACGCCAGGCCCUGCGGGACAUACAACAAUACCCCGCAUUAAAGAUGUCCUCCUCCACCCGUUCGACAUCCGACCACUGGUAGACAUCUACCCAGGCAGACCACACACAUUCGCUCACACUCUAGCAAGAGUACAAAAUUACCCAAUACGCUAGAUCCAUCCCGCAACAACCAUCCAUUACAAGUGAACCAACCCAAUUCGAAAAUCUCUGCACACAAGACAAAGAACCACCGCGAGCCAUCUCACAAAUAUAUACUAUCUUAAUAACGAACAGAUACCUACUAGCGCCACCGUGCAUCAGAAAGUGGGAGGAAGACCUUGAGGAAACCAUGACGGAAGCGGACAGAAGCAUCACCCUGAUACAAAAAACACCAAGCUCGGCGCGCACACAAGAAAACUCGUACAAGAUAUUUACCAGAUGGUACCUGACACCGACGGCACUCCACGCCAGGAACCUGGGAAAUCCCAGAAACAUGCUGGAGAUGCGAGGAGGAGACCGGUACAUUCACACACAUAUGGUGGACAUGCACCCGCAUUAGACCGUUCUGGGAAAGAAUCCGGACGAUAAUACAUGAGGUUACGGAUGAGCUCCUGCCACAGUCCCCAGCCACUUUCCUUCUACACUAUACCACUAUGGCGACACCAACAUACAAGAGAUCUGUUAUUCCCAGACUCCUAAACGCGGCAAAGGUGACCAUCCCCAUCUGUUGGAAACAAACCAGCACGCCUUCCAUAACAAAGUGGAUAGAGGAGGUUGAAGCCACAAGGACAUUCGAGGACAUGAAAGCAGAAACUGCGAACCUCAGAGACCGUCACACCAAACGCUGGUUCCACUGGACGAGGCUAACUACGUCAGAAUCCUUCAGACAUCACCUAACUGCGCCGUAAGCGGAGACGGGAGGACGAGGGAGAGAGAAAUACAAAAAAACGAACUGAAGACAGCGAGACACGGCGAGCCGGGCGGGCGACAGGAGGC